rnacentral:rRNA from 1 species
GGCUCUUGCAUCGAUGAAGAACGUAGCGAAAUGCGAUACUUGGUGUGAAUUGCAGAAUCCCGUGAACCAUCGAGUUUUUGAACGCAAGUUGCGCCCGAGACCUUUAGGUUGAGGGCACGUCUGCCUGGGC